rnacentral:rRNA from 1 species
CAGCAGCCACGGUAAUACGGAGGGUGCAAGCGUUAACCGGAAUUACUGGGCGUAAAGCGUGCGUAGGCGGUUCGUUAAGUCUGUUGUGAAAGCCCCGGGCUCAACCUGGGAAUGGCAAUGGAUACUGGCGAGCUAGAGUGUGUCAGAGGAUGGUGGAAUUCCCGGUGUAGCGGUGAAAUGCGUAGAGAUCGGGAGGAACAUCAGUGGCGAAGGCGGCCAUCUGGGACAACACUGACGCUGAGGCACGAAAGCGUGGGGAGCAAACAGGAUUAGAUACCCCUGUAGUCCCUGUCUCUUAUAC